GACAGCCGGUAUCUAAGGUGGGGAGGGUGAUUUUGCCACAUUAUAUAAGACCAGGCUCACUUUCAGCUGGAGUCUCUACACAGCCAGAUCAGAUCAACGAUAGCAAACCCAGGAUAGUCAACCCAGGACAGCAGUUUCCUCUAGUAUCUGGCCCACGAGACACCUCGCCUUUCUGCAAUAUGAAGUGCCUGGUUCUGGGACUCGGCACACUGGCCUUGCUGGCAUCCACCAUGGCACAGAAUUCUACAAUAGGACCAACAACAGACCAACAUAAUUCUACAAUAGGACCAACAACAGACCAACAGAAUUCUACAAUAGGACCAACAACAGACCAACAGAAUUCUACAAUAGGACCAACAACAGACCAACAGAAUUCUACAAUAGGACCAACAACAGACCAACAGAAUUCUACAAUAGGUCCAGCAACCGUCACAACUGCCACAACCGCCACCUGGCCAUCCACACCAAAUUCUACAAUAGGACCAACAACCGACCAACAGAAUUCUACAAUAGGACCAACAAAUGCCACCACAACCGCCACAACCGCCACAUGGUCAACCACUCUCACCACACCAGCAGGGGGCAGCCAUGUCUUCAGUUACUCCCUGACUCUACUGUUUGGUUCGACAGCCAGCCUGAUAAUACAUUCACUAUGGCAUUGAGCGCCACAUAGAGGACAAGAGUCACAUUGACUGCACCUUUCUGAGAGUGUUAUUAAAGGGUAAUUUGGGGAUUCUGGCAAUGAGGCCCGUUAUCUACUUUCCCAGAGUCAGAGGAACUCAUGGAUACCAGUUUUAAGUCUCUGCGUGCGGUUUGAAUAAAGUUGCUAACUUGCGCAACUGUUAACUUCCUUUUAGCUCAAUGACUGCUAACGCUAGUUGUUGACUAGUGCAAUUGCUAAUUAGCGUUAGCGAAAUGACUGGAACUUCCUGUCAUUGUGUUAACACUAGUUAGCAUUGGCAUUAGCAUUACCGCUAACUUCCUUCAUACAGGACACAGAGACAUAAAAAUGGUAUCCACAAGUUCAUCUGAUUCUGGGAAAGACGAUAAAGGGCACCAUUGCCAAAUCCUAACGUAUCCCUUUAAAAACUGAAUAAGAGCGUAGGAGAAUAAUCUUUCUCUCAAUUUGUGUGUUUUACAGUGACCUGCUGGAGGUUUGUGUGUUCUCUGUGUAUUUCAAAAUGUAGAACUGAAACACUGGUUGAUAGGGUUGCAAUGCCCAAAAUCGGUGUAUACUAAUGUUUUAUAGUCAAUCAAGCCGUGAGUUCCUUUGCUAUGUAAACAAGUGAAGUAUUCAUGUGAUUGUCUUCGGACAGAAAUAGGUCAUUAUACAAAUGGUAAAUGAUUUAAUUUCUCAUUGUACAAAUAUUGAAAUGUACCCAAAUAAAAUAUUUUUUUUGUA